rnacentral:lncRNA from 1 species
AAAUUUUAAAGUAUUAAUUAAAACACACCAAUUUAGACAUUUGAGUAAUAACUAAUAAGCAAGCAUAUGACAGAAUGCACAAUUUCCAAAUAAAAGUUUAAAUUUUAUUCAGUUCUGACAAAUACCCAAUUACCCUCAUUCACUACGAGGAAACAACAUAUCUAUCAAAUCAUUUUCAACCUUCUGCUUGACCGACGGAGGGUGAAAGAAUUAAACAUGGUGGUUGGUUGGCUGCUGGAACUUUGGAACAUCAGAAGAGGGGUCAUGGAAUCGCCGGCCUGUGAAGAUCGUCUAAAAUGCGCGAAACACCGCCUCUGCUCAAAUUGAAAGCAGAUAAGAAUUGGCUGCAUGCGGGUUUUAAUUUCUAUUGUCACACGUCAUGUGGAGAUAAGGUGGUGCAUAUAAAUCAAAGAUAGUAGUUAGGCAUUGAUGUAGGCAGCUUAACCAUACUAUAAGAUCAGAAUGAAAUGGAAGAUUAUUGUAAG